rnacentral:rRNA from 1 species
AGAGUUUGAUCGUGGCUCAGAAUCAACGCUGGCGGCGUGCCUAACACAUGCAAGUCGAACGCGGUUAGUAGCAAUACUAACUGAGUGGCGAACGGGUGAGUAACACGUGGGUGACCUACCUUCGAGUGGGGGAUAACGUCCCGAAAGGGGCGCUAAUACCGCAUGACAUCCUGCCUUUGAACAGGUGGAGAUCAAAGCUGGGGAUCGCAAGACCCGGCGCUUGAUGAGGGGCCCGCGUCCGAUUAGCUAGUUGGUGAGGUAAUGGCUCACCAAGGCGACGAUCGGUAUCCGGCCUGAGAGGGCGGACGGACACACUGGGACUGAGACACGGCCCAGACUCCUACGGGAGGCAGCAGUGGGGAAUUGUUCACAAUGGGCGCAAGCCUGAUGACGCAACGCCGCGUGGAGGAUGAAGGUCUUCGGAUUGUAAACUCCUGUUGCCAGGGGACGAACGGCUCCGACCUAAUACGUCGGAGAAUGACGGUACCUGGUGAGGAAGCCCCGGCUAACUCUGUGCCAGCA